UACAGAGGGUGCAAGCGUUAAUCGGAAUUACUGGGCGUAAAGCGUGCGCAGGCGGUAAUGUAAGACAGAUGUGAAAUCCCCGGGCUUAACCUGGGACCUGCAUUUGUGACUGCAUUGCUGGAGUGCGGCAGAGGGGGAUGGAAUUCCGCGUGUAGCAGUGAAAUGCGUAGAUAUGCGGAGGAACACCGAUGGCGAAGGCAAUCCCCUGGGCCUGCACUGACGCUCAUGCACGAAAGCGUGGGGAGCAAACAGG
rnacentral:rRNA from 1 species